rfam:Salmonella enterica subsp. enterica serovar Enteritidis str. LA5, WGS project CAGR02000000 data, contig: Scaffold42-Contig2
GUAUCUGAAGCCUGACGAGGAUGAGAACCUCCGGGGGCAAGAGGUUCGACUCGAGCGAAGCGAGAGAACGUUGCGUCAGCAACGGCCCGCAGUGGCAAGUCAUCCUCUGUCACCGGCAG